rnacentral:tmRNA from 1 species
AUUGGUUUCGACGUGUUGGCGAAAGCUGUUGAGUGAUACAGGUCGAGAGUGAGUCUUCUCUCGCAAAUACCGGGCUCAAACAAAAAAGUAACUGCGAACAAAAUCGUUCCUUGUGUGACCAGAUAGGUCACUCACCCCGUAGGGAAUAACCCCUACCCCUCUGACUCUUGAGGGUAAACCCGGUUCCCAAGCCGAGGAUGGCACCACGGUUUGAAACAGUGAACCAGAAACGACGGAUGGAGUGAACUCACACAAAAUCCUGACACAAGGGUAAGAGCCUAAGAUGAACGCACAGUGAAUCUAGUAACGAAGUGUCGUCAGAUUUUAACGGGGGAACGAGUUGAAACCCCGAAGUCCAAAACACGGACAUGGA